AGGAUCAACGCUGGCGGCGUGCAUGAGACAUGCAAGUCGAACGGACGAUCAAAGCUUGCUUUGUUCGUUAGUGGCGGACGGCUGAGUAACGCGUGGGUGACCUGCCCCGAAGUGGGGAAUAACUGCCCGAAAGGGUGGCUAAUACCGCAUGUGGUGAUGUGUUCAAUCGCAUCACCAAAGCCGCAAGGCGCUUCGGGAGGGGCCUGCGUCCGAUUAGCUCGUUGGUGAGGUAACGGCUUACCAAGGCGACGAUCGGUAGGUGGUCUGAGAGGAUGAUCACCCAGACUGGGACUGAGACACGGCCCAGACUCCUACGGGAGGCAGCAGUCGGGAAUUUUGCGCAAUGGACGAAAGUCUGACGCAGCAACGCCGCGUGAGGGAUGAAGGCCUUCGGGUUGUAAACCUCUUUUCUUAGGGACGAUAAUGACGGUACCUGAGGAAUAAGCCACGGCUAACUACGUGCCAGCAGCCGC
rnacentral:rRNA from 1 species